rnacentral:misc_RNA from 1 species
GUGAAUCAUCGAAUUUUUGAACGCACAUUGCACUCUCUUCUGAGAGUAGGCCUGUUUGAGGUUCAGCCUAAAAAAAAUCCACAUCGUUGCUGUUUCGCGGUGGCGUUCGUCGGAAAGUGGGUUAUCUUAAAUCUUUGUUGUAAGCGACUGAAAAUUAUCUUUACGAUUCCAUGAACGUUUCCAAUAUGUAUUUCUUGUCACGCUUGAGGUUUCGAUUUUAUUAGUCGUG